UGGUCAUUUAAAUGUUGGCCUCUUUUAGAAUUCUUAGUAUGAUUUAAAAAGUGUGUCUUAAAAUGUAUUUUCUUUUGGUGCUAGUUCCAAAGUAAUGUACUACAUUAGUGUAUUGUCCUCCUUUAGGGCUGAAGUCAUCAGAUUGUAUCAGUGCUGUCUCGCUAAGACAAUCCUCAAGUGUUUCAGGUACACACUAAAGUUGAAGAGGCACUGGUCUUUACUAGCUUUCUUUGAUUGUUUCACCGCCUCUUAAAACUUAAUCCAGCUGGGUGCGGUGGCGCACGCCGGUAAUCCCAACACUUUGGGAGGCUGAGGUGGGCAGAUUGCUUUAUCUCAGGAGUUCCAGACCAGCCUGGGCAAAACAGACCUCAUCUCUAUUAAAAUUUUUUGAAAAGAUCAACGAGGAGUGGUGACCUGUGCCUGUAGUCCCAGCUACUUGGAAAGCUGAGGUGGGAGGAUCAUUUGAGCUGGG
rnacentral:lncRNA from 1 species